rnacentral:rRNA from 1 species
AGAGAGAGACAUGCGCGCAUAUCAAUAAGCGGAGGAAAAGAAACUAACAAGGAUUCCCCUAGUAACGGCGAGUGAAGCGGGAAGAGCUCAAAUUUGAAAUCUUAAAGGGUUUCCCUUUACGAAUUGUAGUUUAAAGAAGUGUUUUCUGUUGAAGUUUUGGUAAAAGUUCUUUGGAAUAGGACAUCAUAGAGGGUGAGAAUCCCGUAUUUGACCAUUACUUUUCAGCUGUGUGAUACACUUUCAAAGAGUCGGAUUGUUUGGGAAUGCAGUCCAAAAUGGGUGGUAAAUUUCAUCUAAAGCUAAAUAUUGGCGAGAGACCGAUAGCGAACAAGUACCGUGAGGGAAAGAUGAAAAGAACUUUCGAAAGGAGAGUUAAACAGUACGUGAAAUUGUCAAAAGGGAAGCGUUUGACACCAGUGUUGUUUUUCUGAAAAUCAAUUAAAGAACUGUUUAUGCUAAGUUGUUUAGACUUUAUCAGCUAACUGUUUAGUUUUGAGCUUUUCUUUAAUGCACUUUUCAGUUAACAAGUCAACAUCAAUUUCUUUUGCUGUAAAAAAGCUUGAGGAAGGUGGCUUGAGAUUCGUCUUAAGUGUUUAUAGCCUCUUGCCUAUGCAGUCGGAGAGAUUGAGGUCUGCAGCGUAGAUCCUUCGGGGCUAAAUGCAUUUGUGCUAAGUUAUAGCAUUUUAUAGACAACUUGUUGACUAUGAUUUGUCUUGUAGCUUACUCGCUUAUGUUAUUUUACCUACGCUUAGGAUGUUGAGCGCAUGUCUCUCUCU